AGAGUUUGAUCAUGGCUCAGGAUGAACGCUGGCGGCGUGCUUGAUACAUGCAAGUCGAACGCACAGCGAAAGGUGCUUGCACCUUUCAAGUGAGUGGCGAACGGGUGAGUAACACGUGGACAACCUGCCUCAAGGCUGGGGAUCACAUUUGGAAACAGAUGCUAAUACCGAAUAAAACUUAGUGUCGCAUGACACAAAGUUAAAAGGCGCUUCGGCGUCACCUAGAGAUGGAUCCGCGGUGCAUUAGUUAGUUGGUGGGGUAAAGGCCUACCAAGACAAUGAUGCAUAGCCGAGUUGAGAGACUGAUCGGCCACAUUGGGACUGAGACACGGCCCAAACUCCUACGGGAGGCUGCAGUAGGGAAUCUUCCACAAUGGGCGAAAGCCUGAUGGAGCAACGCCGCGUGUGUGAUGAAGGCUUUCGGGUCGUAAAGCACUGUUGUAUGGGAAGAACAGCUAGAAUAGGAAAUGAUUUUAGUUUGACGGUACCAUACCAGAAAGGGACGGCUAAAUACGUGCCAGCAGCCGCGGUAAUACGUAUGUCCCGAGCGUUAUCCGGAUUUAUUGGGCGUAAAGCGAGCGCAGACGGUUUAUUAAGUCUGAUGUGAAAGCCCGGAGCUCAACUCCGGAAUGGCAUUGGAAACUGGUUAACUUGAGUGCAGUAGAGGUAAGUGGAACUCCAUGUGUAGCGGUGGAAUGCGUAGAUAUAUGGAAGAACACCAGUGGCGAAGGCGGCUUACUGGACUGCAACUGACGUUGAGGCUCGAAAGUGUGGGUAGCAAACAGGAUUAGAUACCCUGGUAGUCCACACCGUAAACGAUGAACGCUAGGUGUUAGGAGGUUUCCGCCUCUUAGUGCCGAAGCU
rnacentral:rRNA from 1 species